GUAGAAAAACCAAAUUCUUCCAUGUGUUCUCCAUUUUCCUUAUCCUUGUCAUUAGACUAGAUUUGAAAGGGAUUUGAGUAUGACACACACAUAAAACUGAACAGAAAAACAAAAAACAAAAUAUGCCAAGUACAAAAAUGACAAACAAAUAAAUUGUGCAGUGACUAAUCUAACCUGUGUUGUAUUGAUACCAGCUGCUACUAGAUCUUGAUAUCUAUGUGAAAAUGGAAAAUUCUGCACAUAAAAUCAAAAGAAA
rnacentral:lncRNA from 1 species